AACGAACGCUGGCGGCAUGCCUACCCCUUCCAAUCGGACCAGACCUUCGGGUCUAGUGGCGCACGGGUGCGUAACGCGUGGGAACCUGCCCUUAGGUUCGGAAUAACUCCCCGAAAGGGGUGCUAAUACCGGAUAAUGUCUUCGGACCAAAGAUUUAUCGCCUUUGGAUGGGCCCGGGUUGGAUUAGCUAGUUGGUAGGGUAAAAGCCUACCAAGGCGACGAUCCAUAGCUGGUCUGAGAGGAUGAUCAGCCACACUGGGACUGAGACACGGCCCAGACUCCUACGGGAGGCAGCAGUGGGGAAUAUUGGACAAUGGGCGAAAGCCUGAUCCAGCAAUGCCGCGUGAGUGAUGAAGGCCUUAGGGUUGUAAAGCUCUUUUACCCGGGAUGAUAAUGACAGUACCGGGAGAAUAAGCUCCGGCUAACUCCGUG
rnacentral:rRNA from 1 species